rnacentral:rRNA from 1 species
CCUACGGGGGGCAGCAAUCAGGAAUCUUGCGCAAUGGGGGAAACCCUGACGCAGCGACGCCGCGUGGACGAUGAAGUCCUUCGGGAUGUAAAGUCCUUUUCUUGAGGACGAAGGAAGUGACGGUACUCAAGGAAUAAGCUCCGGCUAACUACGUGCCAGAAGCCGCGGUAAUACGUAGGGAGAAAGCGUUGUCCGAAUUUACGGGGCGUAAAGCGCGCGUAGGCGGCUUAUCAAGUCCGGUGUGAAAGUUCGUGGCUUAACCACGAAACUGCAUUGGAAACUGGUAGGCUUGAGUGCAGGAGGGGAGAGUGGAAUUCCUGGUGUAGCGGUGAAAUGCGUAGAUAUCAGGAGGAACACCCGUAGCGAAGGCGGCUCUCUGGUCUGCAACUGACGCUGAGGUGCGAAAGCUAGGGUAGCGAACG